rfam:Chlamydomonas reinhardtii strain CC-503 cw92 mt+ chloroplast, complete genome.
GGUAACCAAAAAUAACAGCAGCAUUUGUUGUUGGGUUAGUAAUAACACGAACGUCACCACCACCUGGAGCCCAAGUAUCGUAAACACCACCAAAGUACAUAGCUUUCCAAACAAGUAACCAUGCACCUAAGCCUAACAUGAUAAGGUGGUAACCUAAAAUGUUAGUCAUUUUGUUUUUGUCUUUCCA